GCCCACCUAGCUCAAUCGGAUAGAGCAUCAGACUCUUAAAGUAGGUGGGUUUAUCUCCUCGUUCUUCCUGGAGAUCUGAAGGCUGCGAGUUUGACCCUUGCGGUGGGCU